GGUAAUAAAGAGGGAGACACAGGCGCUCAGAGUAUUCUGCUGGAAGGACAAAAGGCAGCGAAGAGAAUGUGGAUCAUUAGAAUUGUGCAGAUUGGUCUGAGAGAAAAGCUGCAGACUUUUUCUGGGAAAAUGGUCAACACUGUGAUCAGUGAUGAAGAAAAGGGAAUCCAAGACAAGGAGGGCAAGGAGGAGUCCAUUCUGGCCAUGCUUGGAAUCAUUGGGACCAUACUAAACCUCGUUGUCAUCAUCUUUGUCUACAUUUACACCACACUGUAGUCAACCCCUCCGCUGCUCCCGGAAGGCAAAGAAUCACCCUGACUUCCCGCCAUGCCUAAUGGUUCAGACUCCAGACUGGCUGUCCAGGCCGUUGACUCGCCCGACUGCCACAUAGAUCUCAGACAAUGUUAUUACGGCAAGACUAACUUACGGUUACAUCGAAAAAGGCCCCAGAGAAUCACCAGGGCUUCCCGUUACUGGGUCACUACCACUGUCACAGAACAAGCCCUUACUCCACUGUAAAUAUGCAUGAACAUGCUUUACUGCUGUGAUGAUGGCCUCGUCACAAACAUGGAGGAGCCAAUGAAACUCUUUUCAGUGACUUUAAGUGAGCGAAAUGAGCUUUCUAGCAUUUUUUGAUGUACUGUUUGAAAUGGCACUGAUGCUGUAGGUUAAACCCAUUUAUGAAAUCCACAAAUGGCAACUCUGUGCAGUAUGUUGCUCACCUUGUCAAGGACAUAUUGAGUAUAGUUGUAAAUGCUUUAUUUUACGCAAUACAUUUUGCAUCUUGCGUAUGACACUCCAUAAAUAUGGGAUUUUGUCAAUCACGAAACAUGAGCAAAAGAGCAUGCCUGAUUUAAGUGAUGCAUCCACACUUUUUACAAAGAUGGAGAUUUUACCAUGAGGCAUUCCUUUCAGAAGUGUUGUCUAGGAGCUGAUUUUUUUUUGUCAUGGUCUCAGAAUCUGAAAGCAGCUGGCUGCAAAGGACCUCUACAGGAAUCAUGGAUUCAUUAUCUUC
ensembl:lncRNA